CGUCACUGUGAAUGGCACGUCGACGAUGUCGUCAUGGACGCUAGCCACGUAGUCAUCUGGCAGAAACUAUUUACUUCAUGAUUGAACGACUACAGCUUGCCCAAGUCAAAACGUGCACACAAUCCGAUGACCUUGAUGCCAAUAUUGCUAAAAUCGCGACUACCAGGCGGCUACAACACGUCGUUAUGAGUGUGACCGUUCUAGGGAUAGGCGAUUUCAAUGCAGAGAUGCUGACUAAGAGGUCGUAAAAUUUCAGAAAUUGGUCGUCCGUCAAAUGCCUUGCACAGUAGCGGUUGUGAAUUUCGGUUCACGUGUCCCUUCCUGGAAUCGAUCUGACCCCAAUUCAAUCAAACUGAAAGGGGAGAUCGAUUUCUUGCCCAGACCAGAUCGUCGUUGACGCGAGUGAGGUAGUGUAAUCCGGCGUAUUAACUGAAGAGGCCGAAGCCCUUGGCUUUGCUUUGAUCGUCUGGGACCGUCAGAGUCUCUUCAAAGAGCAUGAGGAACGCGGCCAAGUCCCUUCGCAGAUCCAGUACCGCAGCCCAUAAACCCCUUUGAAAUCGGAUUCCGGCCAAUCGGAUAUUCCAUCAAUGACAAAGGAGAGGUUGCCUUUCAAAGAAUCAUUUCCAGUUGUUACAUGUACAUCAUCUAGAAGCUUUAAUUUAGCCUUCCGGAUAACAAGGGUUGGAUUUCUCAAGGUUGAGCCUAAAGGUGAAGAGUUCAGUUUAUGUAUGGGGAUUUUGCUUCGAUUGUUGGAGAGUGUAUCAGCAGAAGGUUCAUAAUGUUUUUAGUCAUGGGUUGAGUGACCGAUUGAAGACUGUAUGUGUGACCUGGGAAAGCAUGUUAUCAGAACCCAUUCUACAAAAUGGAUUGUUGACACACAAUACAGAGCCACUGCUAAUUGGAAUUUCAGUGAGCUCUUCAGAUAAAGCUUUUAGAAUUGUUGAUAUUGGUCCUGAUGUUGAUAAAUAGGAGGAGGCUCUCAAAUUCCGCCAGCUCUAGGGGGAUAAGGCUGCACGUAGGAGAUUUAAAGAUGGCAAAAUAGCAGAAAGCACAGCUUUCAGGUUUUCAUCUGUCUUCCCACCUGAACCUCAUCCGCUAGCAAAUGUAAGGAGUUCUUUCGCAAGACUAAAGCACUUCCCUCCUUCCUACAUCCGGUCGCCGGAAGUUAUGAUCCAGGCAUGACAUAAUACCCUGUAUAGUGAUUCGCGACAUUUAUUAAAACGUUCCAGCCAGUUUAUGAAACUGUUUAUAAAUAGCGAUUCAUGACAUAAAUAAUGAUUUGACACGAAAUGAUGAGAAAGAGAUAAAGAGUAAGUUCGGCAUAUAUGGUAACAAGAAAGUUUGCAGGGAUAUACUCUCCUUCGGUUGGCAAUUCAAGGUGUGGACUCAUGUGAGAAACUGCCAUAUACAUUAGUCUGUACCAAAAUAUUUCUUGGAAUGCCAUAUAGGCAAACUCGAUAUUUUAAAGCAUAAGUCUUAAAUUGAA